AUAGAUACCCAGGUAGUCCACGCCCUAAACGAUGUCUACUAGUUGUUGGUGGAGUAAAAUCCAUUAGUAACGCAGCUAACGCGUGAAGUAGACCGCCUGGGGAGUACGGUCGCAAGAUUAAAACUCAAAGGAAUUGACGGGGGGCCCGCACAAGCGGUGGAUUAUGUGGAUUAAUUCGAUGCAACGCGAAAAACCUUACCUGGCCUUGACAUGCCACUAACGAAGCAGAGAUGCAUUAGGUGCCCGAAAGGGAAAGUGGACACAGGUGCUGCAUGGCUGUCGUCAGCUCGUGUCGUGAGAUGUUGGGUUAAGUCCCGCAACGAGCGCAACCCUUGCCAAUAAUUGCCAUCAUUCAGUUGGGCACUUUAUUGGGACUGCCGGUGACAAACCGGAGGAAGGUGGGGAUGACGUCAAGUCCUCAUGGCCCUUAUGGCCAGGGCUUCACACGUAAUAUAAUGGUCGGUACAGAGGGUAGCCAAGCCGCGAGGUGGAGCCAAUCCCGAGAAAGCCGAUCGUAGUCCGGAUUGCAGU
rnacentral:rRNA from 1 species